rnacentral:rRNA from 1 species
AAGUCGAACGAAGUAGCAAUACUUAGUGGCAGACGGGUGAGUAACAUGUAGGUAUCUGCCCUUUGGCCUGGAAUAACACGAGGAAACUUGUGCUAAUACCGGAUAAGUCUUUACGGAGAAAGCUUUAUGCACCAUUGGAUGAGCCUGCACUUGAUUAGUUUGUUGGUGGGGUAAUGGCCUACCAAGACUGUGAUCAAUAGCUGAUUUGAGAGGAUGAUCAGCCACAUUGGGACUGAGACACGGCCCAAACUCCUACGGGAGGCAGCAGUGGGGAAUCUUGCACAAUGGAGGAAACUCUGAUGCAGCGAUGCCGCGUGAGUGAAGAAGGCCCUUGGGUUGUAAAGCUCUUUCGUCGGGGAAGAAAAUGACUGUACCCGAAUAAGAAGGUCCGGCUAACUCCGUGCCAGCAGCCGCGGUAAUACGAAGGGACCUAGCGUAGUUCGGAAUUACUGGGCUUAAAGAGUUCGUAAGUGGUUGAAAAAGUUAGUGGUGAAAUCCCAGAGCUUAACUCUGGAACUGCCAUUAAAACUUUUCGGCUAGAGUAUGAUAGAGGAAAGCAGAAUUUCUAGUGUAGAGGUGAAAUUCGUAGAUAUUAGAAAGAAUACCAAUUGCGAAGGCAGCUUUCUGGAUCAUUACUGACACUGAGGAACGAAAGCAUGGGUAGCGAAGAGGAUUAGAUACCCUCGUAGUCCAUGCCGUAAACGAUGUGUGUUAGACGUUGGAAAUUUAUUUUCAGUGUCGCAGGGAAACCGAUAAACACACCGCCUGGGGAGUACGACCGCAAGGUUAAAACUCAAAUGAAUUGACGGGGACCCGCACAAGUAGUGG